rnacentral:RNase_P_RNA from 2 species
AGAGUCAGUCGGACAGUCGCGCUUGUAAUUGAGUGAGGAAAGUCCGGGCUUUAUAGAGCAAGAUGCCAGAUAACGUCUGGGAGGCGUGAGCCUACGGAAAGUGCAACAGAAAAUAUACCGCCUUAUUUUUUUAGUAAGGUAAGGGUGAAAAGGUGCGGUAAGAGCGCACCGCAUUAGUGGUAACACUCAAUGGCAUUGUAAACCCCAUCCUAAAGCAAGACCAAAUAAUGCCACUAUGAUGUUGCUCGCAUCGUGGCAGGGUAGGUCGCUUGAGCUUACUGGUGACAGUAAGCCUAGAUAAAUGACUGUCUAUUACAGAACCCGGCUUAUAGACUAACUUUGUAU